CGUCGCCGUCGCGUCCAGCUUUGCUAUAUAUGCAACGUUCAGUGCCGCCUGCUUGUCCUAGCUAGCUUGGCCACCACCACAGAUGGUGGCCGCCCUGCGAGUUUUGGUGCCUUGCCUUUUGUUUCUCUCGGGGGCUACACUGUCUCAGCUCGGUGGGCAUGCAUAAAGCGUAGCGCGUAGGUUGCGCUGCCUGAAAGGGAGGUUCUUCGGAGGUACCUUGUGCAUCGUACGUACGUCUAGCAGGCUGCUAAACAACAAGGUUUGUUUAGUAGGACGAACAACAAUAAUUAGUGUGUGGAAGUGGAAGCUAGUGCCGCCCGUCGAGCGGGCGAACCUAGUAUAGAAAGAAGUUUAGCAUAUCAUGUAGGCACAAGAACCGGUCUCUCUUAGUCACAAAUGUUAUCCCACUCAUAUAUGUAAUGUAAUUGGAGAGUAGUGUGCUGCUGGCCGUCCAUUUUAGCUUGCACUGAUUGGCUGCGUUUUACAUACCUUUCGUCGACCGUCUGCCGUCCGCACGAUCCCUACCGAUCGCGCGGCAGAUUUAAAUGCUGGUACGGGAGAACUUUUUCCUUCUAGUUUAGGACUUGCACACGUAGCCUAGCUAGUGACACUGACAAGGACUGAAGCUGAAAUGGGCUGCGUUGGCGUUGCGUACACAUAGCUCAUACAUCAUGCUGCGUGUUCAAUUCCAC
rnacentral:lncRNA from 7 species